ACGGGGGUGAUGUGGCUGUCGUUCAGAGUGAGGUGAGGCCCCGCUGCGGGCUUUGAGCAGACAAGGGCAAGACCUGACCUCUGUGUUAAUAGGGCCCUACGGGGAGGAACUGUCAUGAGCCCAUUCCGCGGAUGAGAAGGCUGAGGCAGCGAAGGUGAGGGGCCCUAUCCUCGCUGAUACCACUGGAGGAUGUGACUGUCCGUCCUAGCGCCCUGCUCCCGCCAUCCCACUCUGCAGUUACGUGUCCAGCUCGCUUGUGUGGGGCGUCACUCCCCCAACCCCGGAACGUAGGCUCCACGAUAGCAGGGACGUCAAGUUUACUGCUGCAGCCUUAGUGCCCCGUACGACACCUGUGACCCAGCGGCAGUUCAGUGAACCUUUACAAAGACAGACAUCCCAGAGGGCGGCAGCGGGCAUGCUGGGUGGUGAUUUCUGGAAGGCUCAACAUGUGAGGUUUCUUGGGGAAUUCCUCGGACACCAAGCCGACCUGAGGUCACAUACAUGGGUUUCUGCUUGGGACUGCUCCCGACCCCACCAUGGCAUGUGUCUUGGAGAGUCAGAGAAGGAUGCUUGGCCGUGUGGUGUCCUUCAUUUACCAAUGUCUCCCUUCUUUCACAUGCUCAGCCUCUCACAGCUGUCCAGCGGGUGUUCCCCGAGCACUACGCUGUGCCAGACACGAGGCCGGGAUGGCACGCUAGCGACCGACAGUGUGGCGCCUGUCCUCGUGGACCUUGGCAGUGAGGCUUUCAGAGGCUGUUCGAAGCCACUUAGUACCAAGCAGAUGAUCUCCCCAGACCAGAAUGUCAGAGGAGACAGGAAGGGAACCGCUGACGUAAGGCUUGUGAGCCUGAAGUUAUGGCCUGUGGAUAUCCCAGAGUCAGCAAAAAACAUAUCCCCCACCCGCGCCCCCCGGUGAAUAUCAUGCAGAGGACCCACGAAAGCUGUGAGAACUACAAUGUCUCCGAGAGGGGCUGCAGGGACUUGGAUUUGGAUUACAUCUCUCAGUCAAGGAGGAUCGAGGACGGCCCGGGAUUCCUGCUCUGUGUGUGUGAAGGUUUGAGUCCAGUGUUCUUCCACGGGUCCCUGAAGACAGCUCUGGCUGGGUUUCAACAGGCUGUGCUGGUGUGAGUUCUCUGCUACGCUGAUGGGAUUUCUAGAGCAGGAUGGGGUGAACCCAGUUUUUUAAAUAAAUUAGCUGAUGCUGUCAGUGUUGUGCUUCAUUAUCUACUUUGAUAGGAACAUGAAAUUAGGAAAGUUCUGGAGAAAGAUCCCCCCACAUUUCCUCAUUCUCUCUGAGCAAGCUGUCCCCAGGUUCCUUGGACUGGACUAGCCUCCACCUUGGCCCACAGAGACUUGAAUAAGCACCAGCUUGGUUUGUAGCAACUCAAAGCUACAUCUCUAGGAUGACCCUUGCUCCCCUUAAAGCACCUACCUGAGGAAACUCAAGGCUGCCAAAAGAAUUUGCUGUUUGUUCCAGCCAACACCCAAAGACAAGGCCCCUGGCAUGCCGCCAUAUUUGUGGGCCCAUGGGAGCUGAAUCUGAUAUGCUCCAGGUAGUGAACUCAGUCGGUUUCCUAAGGAUAAAGCCCCUUUCCCACUCUGUUGUGAUUUUUCACUUCCCUGACCAGCGCUCUAGCUUCUCCCCUUAAAAUGCCCACUCACGUCUGUUCAAAUUGAAGUUAUAGUCAGUUAUGCUGGACUCCUUUCCUUAUUGCAAUAGUCGCUACUGAUUAAAAUCUGCCCUUAGCAGUGUCCUUCAGCGUCUGAUUUUGUCUAGCAUCUUUAACAACGUAAGUUCAGCUAAGGCCAUCCAAAGAAUCCUUUGGUUGCUUGAGUGAAGAAUGGAAGGGGGCCAACGGGUAGAAACCUCCAGUUUGAAGGUAAAUAUGGUGUGGGAUGUGUACAGCAUGGCGACUAUAGUUAAUAAUGCGUAUUGUGUAUUUGAAAGUUGCUAAGAGUAGAUCCUAAAGGUGUUCAUCACAGGAGAGAAAAAUAAUGUAACUUUGUGAGGUGAUUUUUAAAAAAAUCUGAGGUGACUGAUAGUAACUCAACUUAUUGUGAUCUUUUCACAAUACAUACAUAAAUCAUUAUGUUUUAUACCUUAAAGGAGUAUAAUCUUGUAUGUCAGUUAAUCUUAAUAGGACUGGGGACAAAUGCGAGGGAACAUACACAUUGCUGGUAUGAAAUGUAAAAUGGGGCAGCCACUGUGGGAAACACCUCGGCGGUUCCUCAGAACAGUUAAAUGUAGAGUGACCAUAGGACCCACCAAAUUCCACUCCAGCACAUACACAAGCGAAUCAAAAACACAUGUUCUCAGGGCACCUGGGUAGCUCAGUCGUUAAGCGUCUGCCUUCUGUCCUGAUCCCAGGGUCCUGGGA